rnacentral:rRNA from 1 species
AACGUAGGACACAAGCGUUAUCCGGAGUUACUGGGCGUAAAGGGCGUGUAGGCGGAUGGAUAAGUCUAUUCUGAAAGCUCCUGGCUAAACUGGGAGAGGCGAAUGGAGACUGUUUAUCUAGAGUGAGGAAGAGGAAAGUGGAAUUCCGCGUGUAGUGGUGAAAUGCGUAGAGAUGCGGAGGAACACCAGUGGCGAAAGCGACUUUCUGGUCCUUAA